GUCUACAGCCAUGCCAUCCUGAACUUGUCCGAUCUUGUCCGACCUCGGAAGCUAAGCAAGGUCAGGCCUGGUUAGUACUUGGAUGGGAGACCACCUAGGAAGAUCAGGUGCUGUAGGCA
rnacentral:rRNA from 1 species